UACGUAGGGUGCGAGCGUUGUCCGGAAUUACUGGGCGUAAAGAGCUCGUAGGCGGUUUGUCGCGUCUGGUGUGAAAAUCCAGGGCUUAACCCUGGACCUGCAUCGGGUACGGGCAGACUAGAGUGCGGUAGGGGAGAUCGGAAUUCCUGGUGUAGCGGUGAAAUGCGCAGAUAUCAGGAGGAACACCGGUGGCGAAGGCGGAUCUCUGGGCCGGUACUGACGCUGGAGGAGCGAAAGCGUGGGUAGCAAACAGG
rnacentral:rRNA from 1 species